CCUUCCAAAUUUUAAUUUUUAGAUGAUAUAAAUUACUUCUAAAUCUAGUAGGUGAAGGGAAAAAGGGCCAAAUUUUCUACCAUAAUAAUAAAACUUGUACUAGUCCAAACAUACAUAAACAGGAUAUAAAUUCCAACAUUAAUGUGUAAAAAAGUGUCGACGCAAAAUAAUAAUAGGUGUAUACAAAUAAGAAAUGAAACUUGGGAGAGGAAAGGGCACUAGACUGUUGGCGGGUUUGACUUAAGAUUAUGGUGUUAACUCCUUUCUCGGAUGAAAUAUACUGUUGGUCUUGUUUUGAGACUCCAAGCGGAUACUAGAGUCUAGCCUUAAGACUCCAAGGUUGUUUGCUCUAGAAGUGUUCAUGCAAAAAUAAAAAGGAAAUAAAAAAUUAGUACAAUGGUCCAGCUUAAAUAAUCCCAAAUAAAGUCGCACGACAAAUGUAAUGUUAAAAAGCUAAGACAUGAAUUUCAAACUAGAUAAAUUUAAAUAGAAUAGCUAAAUCACCAUAUGUGUUUUAUUCACAGCUAAUCUCUUAAUACAUAAAGCUUAAAUUUAUACCAAACCCACGAACCAAAAGCACAGAGAAAGAAAUUAACUUAUGCCCAUUUUAAAGGGUCAAUAUGUAUGUCAUGCACAAAAAUGUUCCUGCAAACAAAUCCUAUUUGUAUGUGCACGUAAAGUAAAAAAUAAGGAAGUAAAAAGAAGGCCCAUUCCAUUAGGGAAUACAUAAAAGACUGCCUAACAUUUAGUAUUAAACUAAGCUAAGCAAACAUCUCUUUCAAAAGAGAUGUUGAUAUUCUUAAGAAAAUAAUAUCCGGAAGACUCCUGGCAAUAAAAAUACAUGCAUACAAAGACUUCAAAAGAUAUGUAUGCAUAUGGAAUACGGAUUAAGGCUGCAAGGGUGUAAAUCAUAUUUUAAGUUUUAUUAGAGAAAUAUGACAUUUUUCAAGCAAUCUAUGCCAAAUUUCACCAUUAAAGACACCAAACAAGCUAAUAACCUUAAAAAGAGAUAGAUUCAAUGUGGCUAUUAUCUAAUUCUAAAAGCAAAACAGUGAAAAUAACAUGAUUUUGCAGAGUCCAAACUAAGCGGCAGAAACAUUUAAACAUAGUUUUCACUGUAGCUAACUAAACUAACUUUUAAACAUGAUGUUUGCUAUAGCUAAACAAAAUCUUGCAGUAUACACAAGUUCUCUUUUUUUUUUAGAAAACACACAUCACUUUAUCACAAAACAAAAGAGGACAGAGGAUAUAGAUGUACCAUUUGUGGGGCAGUGAACGGGGAGUUUUCGACCUACGAUCUAUACCCGAACCCAAACGAUGAAGCUUGAACACUCUUUAAACCCGAGAUCGAAAUAAAAUGAAAUGGGGAGACUUUAAAAACGGCAGACUAGUAACUAUCGUGCCAUGGAACGGAUGAAAAAGCCUCGGGUGAUACCAUAAGUGAAAGAGAAUGAAAAGAGCAAUGUAAUGAAUGAACACACAGUAACUUUUGGGUGAUGUUUCAGCAACUGAGAGCAGCGGAAAUGGCUUGCUCACGGCUUAAAGAAUGAAUGGCCGAGAAAAAACUACAAACAAUGCUAGGUCGUCCGUCCUCCUUUUUUUUUUUCUUCCUUUCCUCCCUUUUUCUUUUUUUUCUAAGCUUCCAAGCAUGAGUAUUUAUAGCAGAUUUGUUGGAAUUCAUCCUUUGAGCGGGAAUUGGGUUCCUCAAAUUUUGAACGUUCAACAUUCAAAUAUUGGAAUUUGUCUCCACUCGAUCUUCAUGUGAUGGAAAGGAUUCAUCACAAAAAUGGAGUAGCAAAUCCUGCCCAUGGUGAAAGGGGUCUGUAUUUUUGCUUGAAGAGGAGAAGAAAACGUUGAGGCAUGUUCAAAGAGGUGGUUCAUUGAGAGUAGAGAAACUUAGGCUAGGUUUUAGGUUUUUUUUUUUUUUUUUUUGUGGGGGGGGGGGGGGGGGGCACUAUUGAUAUUUUAGGUGAAAUAAGUGAGGAUAAAAUUGAAAGUUUUCGAUAAUUGGAAAUUAAAUGAAUUUGACCAACAAAUAGGGCAAAGACACGUGGUAAAGGAGGUGUCAGGCAUGUGCUGGGUUGUGUGAGAAGUGCAACAAAAGUGUGUUUAGCGUAUGUUAUGCCUAUUUGGCACUUUAUGUGGCGCAAACUUGGUGUCCAUGUGGCGCUGAGGUAGAAGGGGAGAGAAAAGGUGGGCUUUAUGGGUUAGAUCUUGAAAUUGGGCCAAAUUGCAAGAAUAUUGUAAAAUGGGCUAAUUUAAAAAGAAAAAAUUACUUAAACCACACCUUAACUUUUCAUUAUUACUUAAAAUCACAUCCCACUAAAUUAAUUACAAAAAUUCCUUCUAACUCAAAAAAAAAACAUAAUAUUUGUUGAUACAUUACAACCCACCCUAUUUUUACGCCUCCUGCUCCUCAAAACUCGCCCAAAAUCAUGGAGAAGUAUUCGAUAUUUUUCACCAACUCAGCAAUUUUGAAUUUCAACCGUGUUAUUAGCCACUACUUCAACAUUCAAGUUUCAACUUUCAAUUACAACAUCCAUUAACUUUCUUCUUCAAAUUUAUAGGAGGUAAGUUUGUUUUCAUAAAUUUUUUCCGACUAUGAUGAAGAAACUGCGGGAGAUUGCUGGUAGUAGCAAUAAGAAGCAUAUUGUUGGUUGAUGUUCAUUGUUUUGGCAUCAAACAUAACGUAAUGUAUAUUUAUGGCAUCAAAUAUAUGAAACUACUUGACAUGCUAGGAGCCCAUCGUUUUGGCAUCAAAGAUACAUUACAUAGCAAUAAAAAACUACAGGACAUGCUAGGAGCCCAUCGUUUUGGCAUCAAAGAUAAUGUAAUGUAUCGUUUUGUUAAAACAAAAGUUUUUUAUCAAAGGUAUGAAUUAUACAUAUUCUUGUUAACGUAAUGUAUCAUAUGAAUAAACAAGUCUUCAAAUCGGGGAUUUCGAUAAUAAUAGAGAUGCGUUGCAGAUGACCAUAUUUAUUCAUACAUAUUUGUUUGUUCUGGUACAUCAUAAAAUUUAGGCGUGAUUUUGAUUCUUUCUACAACUGAUACAUUCAAUAUAAUAUGUCCGAUACAUGAUCCAAGGUUAAUAAUACAUUGCAUGCUUUCUGACAUAUAAUUCAACUUAUAUGUGAUUUUGGUUCAUUUUUAUAACUGAUACAUUUAAUAUAAUGAUUAUGAUACAUAGAUCUAUUUUCUGACCAAACUAUUGAAUGCUUUCUGAUACAUGAAAAUAUUUAUAUGUGAUAUGAGUUUCGCACUCCUGAUACAUUAAAUUUUUUACACCUCCUACAUUUAAUAUAUGUAUGUGAUAUAGGUUUCGCAUUCCUGAUACAUUAAAUUUUUUACAUAGAAAGAUAUAUAUGGGAUAUGAGAUUUGUACUUCUGAGACAUCAAAUUCUUAUAUUGUGUUUAUUUUUUUCUGAACACAUGGGAUGAGAUUUUGUAUGAUGAACAUGGAAUGAAUGAGUGAAGAAUGAAUUAGUUUUGGAAGAUUAUGAUUGAUGAAGCUUGAUUUGACUAUAUUUCAAAUAAAGAAGUUGUUACAGAUUUUAUGUAAUUAAACACACACAAUCUUAAAUUGAGUGUGUUAAUUACUAAAUUGUAGGCACUUUUACUGAUUUUUUUCUUUUUUAUCUCCAAUUAAUUAGUUAGUAAUAUAUCAUAAACUUAUGUAUAGGAUAUUAAAUAAUGUAUCAUAUUCGGGAUAUCACGUAAUUAAUAUAAAAGUUGGGAGAGAGAGUAAUUAGGUAACAAAAUGUUGGGGUUUAUGUAAAAUGCCCAUUUAAAAAUACGUUCUUUCUUAUGUUCUUUGGCCUUUCUAAAUUAAUCUAAAUAACACUUUUAACAAAACAUAUUAUAAAUAUACGAAUAAAUGACAAAAACUAAUUGACACUAAAAUAUAAUUAUUUGAACAAAGUCGCAUGAUAAAUUUGGAAUUGAACAAUAAUAUUUAUAAACAAGAAAGUCACCGAAAUACUUCAUUCGAUUAAAAAUAGAUAAAUAAAUAAAUAUAAUGUCUUUUGCGAAAGUUUGAGAAAAUGCGACGAUAAUUCACAAUAUAACAAAAUUGUAAUGAUAAUAAUGAUAAUAAUAAUAAUAAUAAUAAUAAUAAAUAAUAAUAAUAAUAAUAAUGUCGUCGAUAACUUUUAGUUUAAAAAUACAAAUGGUGGCACGACUUGCAUAAACUCCUAAUUAUAGGAAUAUCAUACACAUAUUUUUUAAGCUAUCAAAAUUAUUUAGAAGCGCAAAGAGAUGACUUGGAAGAAAGACGGGACAAAAUUGGGUGUCAACAGGUGUCCCUCUUUGGUUGAAAAUGAUGAAAGAGUUUCUGAACAAAGAAGUUGACUAGUAACUUAAUUUUGUCACUGCUGACAGGAUCUAGGAGGAUAUGUAGCAGAAUGUUAGGGAGAUUGUGGCCGAAAUCCAUUCUCUGAGUUACGUACAUGUCUCGGGUUGCAUGAGAAUUAGGCCAAAUAUAGUUCAAGAGUCAUGAUAAGGAAGAAGCUCGAGUGAGCUUAGAACACCAUGAUCCAUAAAGGUGCCUUAGAAUCGCUAACUGAUAAGAACAACUGUAACGACUAAGAGGUUAGGCUUCAAAAAGUUAAAAAUGGAGUCAAGCAAAAUGAAACCUUAAGAGGAUAAAGAGUAAAGGGAAUCAAAGUGAAAUUGAAACUAUGGAUUAACAAAAUAGAGGUAUUGGACGAAAUGAAGUAAAUGCAUAGCUAAAGAGCGAUACUUUUACAAAAAUGCUUUAAGGAAAAAAAGAAAAACCGUCCCUGUAUCGAAUUAUGAUGAAACUGAGUGUUAAGAUUGAUAAAGAAAACAAAGAAGAGGGGAUAGAGAUGGAAAACGCACGGGAUUUAAGAUUUUUUUAAUUGAAAAAUGAAAGGCUGAUGUAAAAUUUCCUAUACACCCCAAAUGUGAGACGUAGGUUGAGUAAGAUUCAAGAGUAGAUCCUUGAACAUUAUUGGUGAGCUUGAUCUCCAACAAAUUACCCCAGUUCAUUGCUAAUAUAAAGUUCCACGUUAUGCGGUCUCCUUUGUCUGCAUACGAGUUUUUUUCCCUGCCAAGUAGAAAAACCAUGAGACAAAUGCAUCCAUCGCUUCUCUAGAUGCGAUUGGUUGAACGUGCAGUAUUUUAGAAGUAACAAAUUCAAAUUUUGUGGUUACAAAAUUUAUCAAUCUAAGUAGAAAUAUUAGCAAAAUCAAUGCUUAAUAACAAACAAACGAACAAUUGAGCUUGAUUUUUCAAUAAAUCAAAAGAUGGCAUGUAUUGUUUAAUUAAAAUAAAUAAAUAAAUAAAUAAUAAUUAAGUCUUUGCUAGACGUUCAAUUAGAGGAAAGUAAGUAAAAAUAUUCAACUUAAAGUGGACAUAUGUAUAAAAUAUCUUAUUAGAGGGCAGACUAUCCCAAAAUAUCCUACUUUCGGGUGGGCGAUCCAAAAUAUCCUAUUUUCUAGGAUGGAUGAACCCAAAAUAUCCUAUUUUAGGGUAGAUGAACCCAAAGUAUCUUAUUUUAGGGUGAACAAACCCAACGUGUCCUAUUUCAGGGUGAAUGGACCCAAUAUGCAUGACAAACUUACAAUAUGAAUGCAGUGCAGGGAGCUUGGUGAGAUUUUCUCAAAUAAUUCUUGAGAAUUUUUUUUAAAAAAAUAGCAUGAAGUGCAUAACUAAUUAAGAAAAAUAAUAAUGAUAAAACUAAAUAAAUGAUUAAGGCAUCACGAUAUGUUCAAAUAAAGGCAAGUAAGCAUAAGUAUCUAAUUGAAGGCGUGCGUGCAUAAAUGGUCUUAUUGGAGGGCAAACUAACCUAUAUAUCCUAUUUUAGGGUGGACGAACCCAACAUAUCUCAUUUUAAGGUGGACAAACCCAUAGUGUCCUAUUUUAGGGUGGACGAACUCAAUAUGUCCUAUUUUAGGAUGGACGAACCCAAUGUAUUCUAUUUUAGGGUGGACGAACCCAAUGUAUCCUAUUUUAGGGUGGACAACCCCUACAUAUCCUAUUUUAGGGUGGAUGGACCCAAUGUGUUCUAUUUUAGGGUGGGCAGACGCAUAAUAUAUUACAAACUUACAAAUAUUAAAGUAGUGCAUAGAGCUUGCUGUGAUUUUCUCUAAUAAUUUUGAGAAAAUUUAAAGGAUAGCAUGAAGUGCUUAAAUAAUUAAUAAAAGUAAUAAUGAUAAAAUUAAAUAAAUAAUUAAGGCAUUGCGACAUGUUCAAGUAAAACAAGCAAGCAUAAAUAUCUAAUUAAAGGAGAACGUGCAUAUAUGGUCCUAUUAGAGGGCAGACUAACCCACUCUAUCCUCUUUUAGGGUGGACGAACCCAAGAUGUCUCAUUUUAGGGUGGACGAACCCAAGAUGUCUCAUUUUUCUCUAAUAAUUUCGAGAAAAUUUAAAAGAUAGAGUGCAACGCUAGCAAAAAAUAGGUAAUGCAUUGCGAUCUAUUCAAUUAAACGCAAGUAAGCAUAAAUAUCUAACUAAAGCAAACAUGCAUAAAUAGUCUUACUGGAGGGCAGACUAACCCACUUUAUCCUGUUUUGGGAUGGACGAUCCAAGAUAUUCUAUUUUAGGGUGGAUGAACCCAAAGUAUCCUAUUUUAGGAUGGACCAACCCAAUGUGUCCUAUUUUAGGGUGAAAGAACUCAAUGUGCCCUAUUUUAGGGAGGACGAACCCAGUGUGUAUUGCAAACUUAUAAAAAAUUACUGUAGUGCAAGCUUGGUGCGAUUCUAUCUAAUUAAAAACAUUCACAACUCUAUAUAGUGCCUUUUCAGUAAUGAAAAUUCAAAUGUGUUGCCCUUCCGAUAACAAAUAUUAAUGUUGCAAUGCCACAUUAGUUAUUAUUUAUAAUGUGGCAUAAUUGGCAAACUUUGAUGCGAAGACGGUUCUGCACUCAAAAAGAGUUGUAAGUUUUGAAAUUUAAAUCUCAUUAGUUUUGCAUCGUAUUUGUAUUGCCUUUGUCGUGCUUUGCUAGCAUGUAAUUUCCUUCAAGGAUACUCGAAAAUCAACAUCUGCAUUACUCAAAGAAAACUUGUUAGUAUAAAAGAAAAUAAUUGCCUUGCAUUGAACCAUAAAGUCUUGACUUUGAAUUUGCAUUUCUUGUAGUAAUGGCAGUGCUCUGAUUUAAAGAUGUAUAUGUAGCCCAUGAUCUCAAAACACCUGCUUUGCCAAAAUUAUGAUAGGCCAGCUGCAAAGCUGUCCCAGUUUUAGCUAUGGGAGAAAAUGAAUUUUUUUAUUUUUUUUAAUAUGGUGACCGAACCCAAAACUGGCGCUUACAUAUCUCAUUUCUAGCUGGAAUCAGGUCAAACGUAGUUAAUAGAAAAGGCUGAAAAAGAUUGUAAAAGAGUAGGUGCUUAUAUAGGAAGAAAAGGAGAAUGGUACUAAGUUACAAAAAAGUAGCUACUAAUAAAGGAAAAAAAAAGGGAGAAUGAUAUUCUCAGGUUACAAAAUAAAAGAUAUUCAUAAAGGAGGAAAAGGAAAAUUAUAUUCUCAAGUUAUAAAAUGAUGCCUUUGUCAGUCUUCUAGACUUGAUGCGCUCUUUCUCUUCAAAUGCCUUAGUGCCAAUUUUGAUGGAUCACCCUUAACAAAAAUUAUGCCCUUAUUUGCGACAUUACCAUAACUGAUUAGAGGCUCUUGCUACAACUUUACCUUGCCACUCUCAAUAAGACUUUGAAUCUUGAAUCUUAGUGCUAGACAAUCUUCAGUGUCAUGUCCUUGAAUAUUUGAAUGAUAAGAACAAUUUUUGGAUAAAUCCCGUCUGGAGAUGGAUACUUAGGUAUGAAUCCCUUUUUGGGUUGCAAAAGUCUCUCAGUUCACAAUCACUCAAAUAUAUCCGUCAAUGACUCAUCUAGAGGAGUGAAUGAGAAAGGUCUAAUCUUUUUUUGUGGCCGCGAGAUAGAUUAUGCUUGUUGAAACUGCUGCUUCGAGCUAUGUUGAAAAUUUUGCUGACAAAAAGGCUGGAGAUACGCAUUACGAAGGUCAAAAGAAGCAUGAGAUUGCAAAGACUGGUGACCUUGAAGGCACUACGAUUGAUGAACAAAAGCUGAGUUGUUUACGCUUUCCAGAUUUUUUGAUGUCUUCAGUUGGAAAACAAGAUGAACAACUUAUACUGCUUCUACAAAUUUUUCUUCUUGAAUGUCGUUUUCAAUCUCUUUACCAAUUCGAAUUAGAUCGAAGAAGUUAUGUGCAUAAGCUUCGAGUAACUUAUCAAAAUAUAGGCCUUCUUAAAUUUGGAUGAAGGUUGAGAUCAAUUCAUCCUCAGAAUUCUUGAAGCUUCUAAUAUCCAUUGCAUGGAAUAUUCUUGAAAGGAUUCAUGUGGCAUCUUCUUCACUUUGAGCAAAUCCGCCAUGUGCAAAUCGCCACCAAUGUUAAACUAGUAUUACCUUACAAAGUCACGAGCCAUACAUGUGCUCAAUUUGCUAAAGUCUUUCUUGGUAAACCAAGUUAGCGCCACUCCUGAUAAACUUUGAAUGAAUAGCCUCAUUUGUAUGGCUUCAUCAUGUCUAAUUCCAAUUAACCUACUGUAGUAGUCCUUUAAGUGUGCAACGAGAUCUCCUUUCCCACCGAAAGUAUUAAAUUUGGGUAGAUUAUACCCUAAUGGAAGAUCAAUAUUCGGGUGCACAUACAAGUAUUCAUACCUUAGACUCUGGCAAUUUCUUAAACACAACUCUUCAUCAAGUGCUUUUCUCAGAUUGUAGAGCUUUUUGUCUAAAUUUUCGGGGCGGAUUGACUAAAACUCCUUUCCAUGUUUUACAUUUUGACAGACUGAUAGCUGCUCGUGCUUAGUUUCCUUGAAAGGAAGCACAACUGUGGGAGAAUGGAUAUUUGGCACCAUAGUAAGCUAGGAAUUUUUUAGAUUGCUAGUAUAUAUUGAUGGCAUUUACGGAGAGAUCGUAUAGGUAGGAGUUGGGCGAGGUGAUAUGGUUAAACAAAUAUUUUUGGUUGAGUUGGAAGUCGUGGUAGUGGUAGAAAGAAGGCUAAAAGUACUUAGUAAAUUGACCAAAAUAUUUCUUUGAACCACAUUCUUUUUGACAUCAUCAUUUUGUGCUUGCACUAAACCCACACCGGUAUUGAAUGAUUCAUACCUAUAUGUUAUUACUUUAUCGUUCUCAACGCAAAUUCAUAGUCAAAACAAUGUUCAAUGUCAGGCAAUCUCUAAACAAUAAUGAAAUUUUAAAUAUAAAAUAAAGUGUCAAUAUAUGCGCAAUGCAUAUAAUAAUAAUAAUAAUAAUAAUAAUAAUAAUAAUAAUAAUAAUAAUAAUAAUAUUUUAGGAAAAGAUUGAUCUGUGAUGAGCCUAAGUAAGAGGUCUAGACUAGAAAAGACAAUCUUAGUUGCGGAACGAGUGGAUUCGGAGACUUCUUAGCUAGUAGGCUCUAAUGCUUGAGAUGUAAAAAAAAAGUAACAAUUUAUUUGGAGUAGUAAUCAGAAGAAAGGUUGACUUAUGUCGAACACCAAAGCUUGGCUCUAGCUUGAUCCUUAUACUUGCUAACCCUAACGUAUCCUAAAAUUUGCCUCAGUCUAAAAACAAUUAUAAUGAUGAUGCCUCAUCUUGUGUGCCAAAAUUCUGUCCCAUCUUUAAACAUUGUGAUGACGAUACCUUGAUUGUAUGCUAAGGUUCUGCCCCAGUUGUCUUCUCUCAUAUUUUUUGGGGGGAAAAUAAAAACAUAAUAAAGAGACCGAGCCUAAUGUAGGCUGCCUACGUAUCCUAUUUUCAAUAGGAAAUCAGGUCAAACGUAAUUCCAAUUACAUACAAAAAGAAAGUCAAAAUUCUAUGAUAAUAUGACCGGGUCCCUAUGUGGGCCACCUACAUAUUCACUGAGGAAAUCAGGUCAACUGUAGUUCGCCUUACAUAAAAUAAAUUUUAAAAACGUUCAAAGGAUUGAUCAUUACAACAAUACAUAAUUGUUCCAAAAGAAAUGCUACCCAAAAACUGAUCAUCCUUCUACAUAAGUCCUAGAUAACAUAUUUAAAAGGGAUCCUACUACACCUUAAUCGUUAUGCUCAAGGAAACCAUUGUUGGAGUUCUGCCAGGUUCGAUUGUAAGUUCUUGCAAAAAUUGCAGGAGUUCUUUUCCUUUUGGGCCCCUCAGAAACUCUACAGACUUCCUUUUAAAUGAACCAACCCCUCUAGAAAUACUGCUAGAAGACCCAUGUUUUCUGACAAAAUCAUCGAUAAUAUUGCCCUAAGAAGACCAUCUACACAUACCUUGCGUUGCAUACCACAUCAAAGAUGGACCUGUAAGUGUCCUAACAAAGAGUCUCAUCUUUAAUUUAUUGUCUUGUCCAAUAUUUCUCACCCAAUCAACAUAUGCCUUCAGGUGGUCUAUGGGAUUUCCAACUCUAUCAGAAUAUUUUCAUAAUCCAUCUUAAAAGGUAAAGCAGACUCAUUUGUAAAGGAAAUCUGAUUAGUCUCAAUGUCAAAAUGCCUUUCACCCUUUGCUCUGCUUUUGCUCGUCUCCGCUAGGUUAUUGAAUGACUCUUUUGGCAAGGAUGAGUGCAUGUUAGAGAAAAGUUGGUCAUUAUAAUCAAAAGUGGGUGCAUCACUUCCAAAGAGAGAGUAUGCUUCUGAGGCUUUAAAAGGGGGAAGUGUGGCAAUAAUGCCAAGGCUUCAAAAGGGGGAAGUGUGGCAAUAAUGCUGAAGGGCGAGUAUGCUUCUGAGCCUUUAGUGAAUGAGUUCUUAAAGUCAACUAUCAUUUCUUUCAUGCUAUCAAUUUCUUGAUCCAUUUGUGACACUUUUGUAUCAAGCUUAGCAACUUUAUCUUGAUACAACUCUGGUUCUUCACAGUCGAAUUCAUCCUCACUAAGGUCAAUCACCGUAAUUUGGUCGGCCAUAUCAUCCUUGAAUUACCUUUGGUGCUCAACUUAACUCAACCUUUGGAAGGAAAAUGAAAUAGUUGGUAAGCAUUGAAUUGAAAUGGUUAAAAGUAAAGAAUUUUAAAAAGUGAUUAAAAAGAACCUAAUAGAUCGAGUCCUAUAAGGGGUAUAAACUCGAGAUAAUAAGCUCUAGAUAAUAAUUAAUAAGGAAAAGAGCGCACGGAAAUUGCAUUUUGAUAAGACAAAGGAUUGUGAAUGACGUAAAAUUCUAAUUUUGCAUCGUUGGGUUAAAAAUUAUCGAGAAUGAAUAAUUUUGUUGAUUAAAAUGAGUGCGGAAAUAUCAAUUCCUAUAAUCUCAAGAUAGGAACGACACAAGCAUAUUAAAUGAGUGAGACUUUAAAGAAGUACCAAACUUGGGUCGUCGCCCUAAAAUAAAUUAACGAAGAAAGUUGAACAAAUAAAAUCAAGUGCGAUUGGAUGAUUUGUGUAUAUAAAUUUGGGUAUCUACCAGCUUAAGAAGCAACCAAUGGCCUGAAGUCCAAUAAAAGUUCGAAAGACUUUAAGAGCAUGAGUAAGAAUUUCACAAUGUAGAUCAGCACUGCAUAGAUACUACGAAGAUAAAACUAACAGGCUAGAUAUUCCAUCGCUACAAGUAGAAGAUUACACCCGUAAAGAAAGGACUUAGCGGAGUUUUAAAAGGUAGAAAAUAUAGUAGCUCGAGUUUUGACAUGAGUCUGGCAAUAUUUGAAAUGAAUGAUGUAGAAAAAGUAGAUAGGAAAGAUAUUUGCGAAGAAUUAUGCCCACAUUAACAGAGCAGAAUGAAGUUUUAACAAAAUUCAGACACAAGUAUUGAAAAGCUCGAGGAAAAAUUAAAGAUAAUGACGAAUUAAACUCAUUAAAAAAAUUAAAGAAAGAAUGUGAACCCUAUAGAAGAUUGUCAAAUGAAAAUGAAAGAUAACCUUAAUCGAAAUAUUAAGAAUUCGACGGGCUUAAGAUAAUUUCCUAAAUAAUUCUCUAGAAUCUUUAAAAUGUGUUAAGCGUGACAAUGUUACAAUAAAAGACUUUUAAACAGAUGUCAUUAUACAAAAUAUGUAAAAAGUGCAACAGAUAAUAAAUUAAAUUUUCCUCUGAACAUAAGGACAAAACAAAUGUAAAGUUAGCAAAUAAGUAUCAAGUUGAAUGAAUUCAUUUAGGUCAAGUACCACGUAAGCAAGAAAAUUCAUAAAAUAAAUAACAGAAAUAUGUUAAAUAACACGUCCUAUUAUGCAGGUGACUCCUUUAUGCCGGAGGUAGGCCUAAGCGUUAAAUAAUUGAAAUUUCAAUAAAUUGAUUCAAGAUUCAAUUAAUGACACUACACGAGUUCCGAGUUAGAAUUUUCCAAUCUCAAUUUGAUCAAAAUUUGACUUGGAUCAAUUUAUCAUUAUCUCUGUACAUAAUAUGAAGGUCGUCGUCGGGUCAUGAAACCUUUUGACGUAAAGCCGUUUCCUAAAUUCGUGGAAUGAAACAAUGGAUCAACCCACCUAUGGAAGAUUUGUUGGAAUUCACCCUUUGAGCGGGAAUUAGGUUCCUCAUAUUUUGAACGUUCAACAUUCAAAUGUUGGAAUUUGUCUCCACUCGAUCUUCAGGUGAUGG
rnacentral:lncRNA from 1 species